rnacentral:lncRNA from 1 species
UUCAUCCUCCACCAUCUCAAGGUUACUCACCGCCAAAGGAAGAACACCCACCACCUAUUGCUAAGUCUCCACCAAUAGUUGUUCAUCCUCCGCCAUCUCAAGGCUACUCACCACCAAAACAAGAGCACCCACCACCUAUUGCUAAGUCUCCACCAAUAGUUGUUCAUCCUCCACCAAAGCAAGAGCACCCACCACCAAAACAAGGGCAUCCACCACCUUCUCAAGGCUACUCUCCACCAAAACAAGGACACCCACCACCUUCUCAACCACACCCACCACCAAAACAAGGGCAUCCACCACCAUCUCAAGGCUACUCACCACCAAAGCAAGGACACCCACCACCAUGUCAAGGGCAUCCACCACCAAAGCAAGAGCAUCCACGUCCACCACCAAAACAAGAGCAUCCACAUCCACCACCAUCUCAAGAGCAUCCACCACCAAAGCAAGAACAUCCACAUCCACCACCAAAACAAGAGCAUCCACAUCCACCACCAUCUCAAGGCUACUCACCACCAAAGCAAGGACAUCCACCACCAAAACAAGAGCAUCCACAUCCACCACCUUCUCAAGGGCAUCCACCACCAAAGCAAGAGUAUCCACCGCCAUCUAAAAGUUACCCACCACCAACGCAAGGGCAUCCACCACCUUCUCAAGGCUCUCCACCAAAACAAGGAUAUCCACCGCCAUCUCAAGGGUACACACCACCAAAGCAAGGGCACCCUCCACCUUCUCAAGAGUACUCCCCACCAAAACAAGGAUACCCACCGCCAUCUCAAGGAUAUGCACCACCAAAACAAG